AAAAAUAAUGCAUAAGUACUUAUAUAAUAUAAAUGUAAACUAACUAAAUAAGAUAAAUAUAUAUAAACAUUUAUAAAUAGUUAGAUAGAUAGCAUUAUUUUUUAUGGAUGCACAAAAAGCACAGAAUUAAACUCCAGUCCUAAAUGAAUAAUAAAAACUCACUUUCACUGCACCUUGUGGUUUCUGUUCCUCGGUGUCUUUAGACAUUAUUUUACUUUUGAUCAUAAUGUUUGAAUUAGACAUUACAGAUCUUACUCGCGCUACACUCUGUAUCAGCGCGUCUACACCGCGCGUGACCAGCAACGUGUCCUCGUUACUAACACUUUAUUUUCAGUGCUUUUUGAACUGUCUCUCAGCCCUAAAUAGUUCCGCGGUAUUUGUGUGGAAUUGGGAUGAACGUCUAGUUAAAGGGUUGAUGUCUCGCUGGCGCAGUGAUUUGUUUUUAGGAGUGUUUUUCUCUUGAACAGCUCUCUGUGUGGAGACUUGAGGUAGUUCUGUAGUCACAGGUGUACAAAUCAGUCACACAGCUCCAGCUCCACCUGCGCCUCUCGCAGGGAAACGGUUUCUGUGCACUGGCUCCGUCCCAAAUCACCUUGUAUGGAAUGUCUAUCUCUAGUGCACUAGGUGCGGUAGACACUCCAUUCGUUCAGACCGUGUGUAGUGUACCUAGAUACGCAGUCGUGCAGGAUUUGGGCACAGGCCACCCUAAUGAAACAUCAUCCAUUUCAAGUCAAGUUGCUAUUGUUAAACAUUUCACUAAAACCUGUAUGGAAACGUUGCUGUUCAGUUGUUCUAUAAGCGCAAUUUCAACCAAAUACAGUGGAGUGUAAAAGUUUGUACCCCCUUUUGGUUUCUUUUGGACGGAAGGGUGUUAAAUGUCCUAAACACUACAAAAUUUGACUGUAAAUAGAAGUUAAUUUUAUUAUCAGACUCAGAUAUCCAUGUUAAUAUUUUUAAUACUGAUCAUUAGUGUUAAAUGACUUGAUGAUUUUGUGGUCAAUAAAGCAUUUUUGUGUUGAUUUUGAUGUAUGUUUUGGAUCACUGUCCUGCUGGAAGAUCCAACCACGGCCCAUUUUAAUCUUUCUGGCAGAGGCAGUCAGGUUUUUAUUUAAUAUCUGUUGAUAUUUGGUAGAGUCCAUGAUGCCAUGUAUCCUAACGAAAUGUCCAGGUCCUCUGGCAAAAAAACAUUCCCAAAACAUUAAAGAUCCACCACCAUAUUUAACUGUGGGCAUGAGGUACUUUUCCAUAUGGCUACCUCUCUGUGUGCUUCAAAACCACCUCUGGUGUUUAUUACCAAAAAGCUCUAUUUUGGUUUCAUCUGACCAUAGAACCCGAUCCCAUCUGAAGUUCCAGUAGUGUCUGGCCAACUGAAGACACCUGAGUGUGUUUUUGGAUGAUAGUAGAGGCCUUUUUCUUGAAUCCCUUCCAAACAGCUUGUGGUGAUGUCGGUGACUUCAGAUUGUAGUUUUGGAGACUUUCUGACCCCAAGACACAACUAACUUCUGCAAUUCUCCAGCUGUGAUCCUUGGAGAUGUUUUGUCCACUCAAACCGUCCUCUUCAGUGUGUUGAGACGAUACAGACACGCGUCCAAUUCCAGGUUGAUUCAUAACAUUUCCAGUUGACUGGAACUUCUUAAUUAUUGCCCUGAUGAUGAAAAUGAGCAUUUUCGAUGCUUGUGCUAUUUUCUUAUAGACACUUCCCACUUUGUGAAGCUCAACAACCUUUUGCUGCACAAUCACAGCUACAGUGGUGCUUGAAAGUUUGUGAACCCUUUAGAGUUUUCUAUAUUUCUACAUAAAUAUACACAAGAUUUUCAGACAAGUCCUAAAACUACUCAAUGAGAACCCAUUUAAACAAACGUGACACAUAUUAUACUUGGUCAUUUAUUUAUUGCAGAAAAUAAUCCAAUAUUACAUAUCUGGGAGUGGCAAAAGUAUGUGAACCUUCUGCCUUCAGUAUCUGGUCUGACCCCCUUGUGCAGCAAUAACUGCAACUAAUCAUUUCCAGUAACUGUUGAUUAGUCCUGCACAUGGGCUUGGACAUCAGUUUUGGCCAUUCCAAACCAAUAACUUUAUUGUUCUUUAACCAUUCUUUGUUUUGGGCCAUUGUCUUAUUGCAUGCCCCACUUUCUCUUGAGAUUCAGUUCAGUUCCUGGGUUCAUUCUUGCCCUGCGUUUGGGGAACUCACCACUACAUGAAUUAUAAUCUUUCAGAUAGCUUGGAGAUUUAGUACAUGUAGAUCUUCUCAACUCAGGGUUUUCCAUUACAAGGAAAGUUUCUGACAUAGCCACUUCAGAAGUUCCUCCCAGUUUUUGUUUGUGACUUUCCUCAGAGAAUGAAGAACCUGAGUCAUUUGUGGAAGGCACUGGAAUGUCAACAUCUGGCUGUGAAGUGUCCAACAACUCUGGUGCUAUUGAUGUUGCAUUGUGCCCAUCUCUCACCUGAUCAGUAUGUCAGUGCAAUACCUGCCCACUUCCCAAUGCUACUGUGCACCAUACAGGACCAGUCUUUUUCUGAACUGUUCCUGGAAUAAAAGUAGGUCCAGAGCUGAAGUUCCUAGUAUACACUGGGUCACCCACCACGAGAUAUCUUUCCUUUCCAUGUUGGUCAUGGUACCAUUUUUGUCUCAAUUGUUUUUGUCUCAAUGAGACCCUGUGUAGACCAGUUUCCUUCCACACAGCAGUUUAGCGGCUGAUUUGCCAGUGGUCGACGGUGGCGUCGUUCGGUAACUGAACAGCACUCUGCCUAGCUUUUUCAACGGACUCUCCAGCACUCUCUUUCCACAGGGUUUUGAAUGUUUGAACGGCCCUUUCAGCCAGACGCCUGGAAGAUGCAUGGUAGGGUGCUGUGCUUGUGUUUGAUUCCGUUUCUUUCCAUAAACUCUUGGAAUUCAGCACUGGUAAAAAACAAAACAAAAAAACUGCUAUGGUCUGACAUCACUACUUCUGGUAUCCUGUGUUGGCUAAAGGUUUGUCUUAAGCACUGAAUGGUAACUGUGGAUGUAGACUUGAUUAACAGAUAAGCCUCUAUCCAUUUUGAGAAUGCCUCUACCACGAUCAAGAACAUUCUACCCAUCCACGGUGCACCGUAAUCAAUGUGAAUCCUUCUCCAUGGUUGCUCUGGUAACUCUCACGCAUGCAGUGGCGCGUUUGCCGGAGCGUUUCUGUUUUCCUGACAGACUGCACACGAUUUGACCAAUGCUUCCACCUCUGCAUCCAAGUGUGGCAACCACAUAUAGCUACGCACCAGGCCUUUCAUCCUGGUAAUUCCCGGAUGGGUUUCGUGUAGAUGUCUUAGAAGAGCCGCACGCCGCGGAUGUGGAACCACUACGCGAGUCCCCCAUAAAACAAAGCUUCCCUGUAUGCAGAGUUGAUCCUAUUUCCUUACAUAUUAGGGAUGUCACGAUACCAAAAAUCUAGUCGUUGGUACCGAUACCACCAAAAGUACACGAUGCUCAGUACAGUGGUGUGGUUUUUAUUUAAAAAAAAGAGAGAGAAUUAAAAAAAAUUAUAAAAUUAAAAACUCCUGGAGGACAUCCUCCUCUGGCUGAUACUGGCAGAGAGAGAGAGGGAUAUUUUAGUUCAAACACUGUCUGACCAUGACUAAUAAGUGCUAAGGUGCACUCCUAAACGCACACACACCCCUUAUACUCUGAAUGCAAGCAUUAGUUUAAAUUCACUGAUACGGUGUCAGGAUAAAAAGAUUUAUUAAAAGCAUGAACAUGUGAAUAAUUGUUAGUGACAUGAGGCUACAUUUAGCUGACAGGACACGGGCUGAAUGGAGAUGCAUGGUGGAACAUUAGGAGGUAGUUUAUAACACUGCAAUGUGUUAGCGUUUAACAAAUAACUGGAUAUCGCAAACAUUACAUGGAGCAUAACGUUAGUUGAUUUCACGGCUACAAUGCCAGCUUCCUCAAGCAUAGUAUAGGACCUGUCUUUCGACUGUAAUCCUGUGGCAUUAAUUUUGUGACCUAAAAAUACCUCUACUUCUCCCAUGAACUCGCACUUGCUCCUUCUUUGUCUCAGUCCACUCUUUUCUAUCCUACUCAGUACCUCAUCCAAGUUCUGCAGAUGUUCAUUAGCCCCUGAGACUAAAAUGUCAUCCAGAUAAACUGUGACGCAUGCGAUGUCUUGCAGAAUCCGUUCUAUUGUGCGCUGGAAGAUCGCUGGACUUGAAGCAACUCCAAAUGGUGGCCUGUUUGUCCAAAGCCCGUGGUGGUGGCAGUGCAUGGCGUGUGUGUGGGAGCAGGAGUGGAUCUAAUCACAGCCUGUGAUAUUCGUCUGUGCACACAGGAUGCCUGGUUUCAGGUGAAGUCGUGUGUUCCCUGAUAGUCAAUGAUUGCUGGAGCUCUGGAAAUAGCAGGUGAGAUUGCAGGCCAGAGUCCCGUUGCUGUCCAGGGAAUCAAAAUCAACCUCCUCUGAGACCACAGUGUGACUGAGAGACUAGACUACAUGGCUACUUGGAACAUGAACAUGUUGCAGACACAGGAUCUUAUGAAGUCAGCGCAGGCAGCCCUGGAAAAGAAGAGUCCGAAAGACGUGCCCUUCUCCAAGCUUAAAAGGAGAAGAUCCAGGGCUGUUGAAGCUGUGGUGGAACUGAGACUUCAUCAUCCACAGAUCUUUAGUUCUUCUUGCUAAGUCUCAGUUUCUUUUUAGUCUUUAUUUUUAGACUGGUCAAAAGACCGAACAGUGGAAGUGAAAUAAUAGAUGAACUUGCUUGAUUAUUUGCAGGUGCUUUGUACAGUAAGACAGGGUAACUAAUACUCAAAAGCUUGUUUUGUGUGUUAACAUGUACAGUAGAUGUACAUAUUUUUUCUGGUCCUGUGUGACUGCAGAAUGUAGUGCAGUUAACACAGUAAAUUUCCUUGGAUGCUCACUUUUAACUCGAGGAGGUCACAGUUUGCCCAGACAUCUUUUUUUAAAUCCGUCAAUCCGUCACCCACACGUCAUUCUGGGGGAUGAAGAGGAGGAAGCUGGACAGAUAAAUUUAUUUAUUUAUCAUUGCUGUGUUUCCUCAAUCGAGUGCAGAAAGAAGAAAAACAACACAACUGAUUUAAAAUAAAAAUAUAGAAAACAAUCUAAUGUAAGGUUGUGAUCCGGUUUGCUUUCAGCAGGAAGGCUGUCCUCUUUCCUGUUGCUCUUUCUCUUCUAUUAGUCCAUUUGUCCAGUCUGAAUCGGUUUGAUUUGUUUCGAGACGAUUCGGAGUCAAAUAAUUUUCUAGUGAGAGUCGCACACUUCCAAACGAACUAGACUGAGAUGAGUAUUUGAUUCUCACUAGAAAGUGAUUCGACUCUGAAUCAACUCAAAAUUAAUCAGUCAAACUGAUUCAGACUCUAUAAAAGGACUAUGAGAUGUGAUUAAGAUAUAUAUUCUAAUGUUUUGCUUUACAAUUCUACUGUGUGUGUGUGUGUGCGCGCGCACGUGUGUUUUUCAGGAGAACAAGAAACUCUGACACAACAGUACAUCCUGACCAUUGGUACUGUGUACACAUCAACAUACACACACGUCUCCAUGCUGGACAUCUCAGGAGCUUUCACACACAGUGCUAGGAAUAUCACGGGACAGAGAAACGCACCUCCUAAGUGAGCGAGUUUAGCAUCAACCGGUGAAAUUUGCUGUAGCGUGAACACUUCGCCUCUGUGAGCUUCACUCUCCGUCAGGUUCACUGUAAUUAGACAUAAAAUGUACAUAAUGUUUAUUUUUCAUACAUUUAGGAUUUAAUGUUUUUUUUUUUGUUUGUUUUUUUUACUCUUUGAGGAACAGAAAUGAUAUUUCGAGGCAGCUUCUUCAUCACUACCUGCUCCGUUUGACUCAAAAAUGUGAUGACCGGUUUCAAAAAGUCACAAUGUCUUCAGUUCAUGUGAUUUUACUGUUGAAUUUAAACAAGAAAUGUGAAAUAUUUUUUUUCCUUUGUUUCCUCUACUGUCUUUUUGCUGUGAUCUUGAACACAGUUGUAAUUUUUUUAAAAAUAAUAAAUAAACGAUCAUUCUAGUUCUCUCACUUUCCUUGUCCUAAUUGUCCUGUACCUGUUAAAUCUGUUUCAUCUCUGGUCUUUCUGUCUGUAUGAACACUUGUAGAAAUGACUUGUAGUCCAUAUUUUUAAAUGAUUCGUGAUUUUGAAUUUAAAUAAAGAUAUUCUUUAA